GAACUGUAGAGUUUGAUCCUGGCUCAGAUUGAACGCUGGCGGAAUGCUUUACACAUGCAAGUCGAGCGGCAGCGCGGGGCAACCUGGCGGCGAGCGGCGAACGGGUGAGUAAUACAUCGGAACGUGCCCAGACGUGGGGGAUAACUACUCGAAAGAGUAGCUAAUACCGCAUACGAUCUAAGGAUGAAAGCGGGGGAUCGCAAGACCUCGCGCGUUUGGAGCGGCCGAUGGCAGAUUAGGUAGUUGGUGGGGUAAAGGCUUACCAAGCCUGCGAUCUGUAGCUGGUCUGAGAGGACGACCAGCCACACUGGGACUGAGACACGGCCCAGACUCCUACGGGAGGCAGCAGUGGGGAAUUUUGGACAAUGGGCGAAAGCCUGAUCCAGCCAUUCCGCGUGCAGGAUGAAGGCCCUCGGGUUGUAAACU
rnacentral:rRNA from 1 species